AUUUUUUCGAGAGUUUGAUCCUGGCUCAGGAUGAACGCUGGCUGUGUGCCUAAUACAUGCAUGUCGAGCGGAGUUCUUUUAGAACUUAGCGGCGAAUGGGUGAGUAACACGUACUUAACGUACCUUUUAGAUUGGGAUAACGGUGAGAAAUUAUCGCUAAUACCGGAUACAUUUAAUAUUUGCAUAAAUAUUAAAUGAAAGAAGCGUUUGCUUCACUAAAAGAUCGGGGUGCGGAACAUUAGCUAGUUGGUAGGGUAAUGGCCUACCAAGGCGAUGAUGUUUAGCGG
rnacentral:rRNA from 1 species